rnacentral:rRNA from 1 species
AUUGAACGCUGGCGGCAGGCUUAACACAUGCAAGUCGAGCGAGCGGCGGACGGGUGAGUAAUGUCUGGGAAACUGCCUGAUGGAGGGGGAUAACUACUGGAAACGGUAGCUAAUACCGCAUACCAUCAGAUGUGCCCAGAUGGGAUUAGCGAGUGGGGGGGGUAAUGGCUCACCUAGGCGACGAUCCCUAGCUGGGCUGAGAGGAUGACCAGCAAAACUGGAACGGAGACACGGUCCAGACUCCUACGGGAGGCAGCAGUGGGGAAUAUUGGACAAGGGGGGAAAGCCUGAGGCAGCCAUGCCGCGUGUGUGAAGAAGGCCUUCGGGUUGUAAAGCACGUUCAGCGAGGAGGCGUUACUCGAAGAAGAAGCACCGGCUAACUCCGUGCCAGCAGCCGCGGUAAUAC